rnacentral:tRNA from 1 species
GGUCUCGUAGUGUAGCGGUUAACACGCCUGCCUGUCACGCAGGAGCUCGCGGGUUCGAUUCCCGUCGAGACCGCCA